rnacentral:rRNA from 1 species
UGCAGUCGAACGGCAGCACGGAGCUUGCUCUGGUGGCGAGUGGCGAACGGGUGAGUAAUAUAUCGGAACGUACCCUAGAGUGGGGGAUAACGUAGCGAAAGUUACGCUAAUACCGCAUACGAUCUAAGGAUGAAAGUGGGGGAUCGCAAGACCUCAUGCUCGUGGAGCGGCCGAUAUCUGAUUAGCUAGUUGGUAGGGUAAAAGCCUACCAAGGCAUCGAUCAGUAGCUGGUCUGAGAGGACGACCAGCCACACUGGAACUGAGACACGGUCCAGACUCCUACGGGAGGCAGCAGUGGGGAAUUUUGGACAAUGGGCGAAAGCCUGAUCCAGCAAUGCCGCGUGAGUGAAGAAGGCCUUCGGGUUGUAAAGCUCUUUUGUCAGGGAAGAAACGGUGAAAGCUAAUAUCUUUUGCUAAUGACGGUACCUGAAGAAUAAGCACCGGCUAACUACGUGCCAGCAGCCGCGGUAAUACGUAGGGUGCAAGCGUUAAUCGGAAUUACUGGGCGUAAAGCGUGCGCAGGCGGUUUUGUAAGUCUGAUGUGAAAUCCCCGGGCUCAACCUGGGAAUUGCAUUGGAGACUGCAAGGCUAGAAUCUGGCAGAGGGGGGUAGAAUUCCACGUGUAGCAGUGAAAUGCGUAGAUAUGUGGAGGAACACCGAUGGCGAAGGCAGCCCCCUGGGUCAAGAUUGACGCUCAUGCACGAAAGCGUG